CCACCUUCAACCUUUUCAUCUCCAUCUUCAUUAUCCACCAUCAAAUAAAGAAAGCUUUAUCCUAACAUAUGAAGCAGCAUCCUUUUGAUGAAUUAAAAAUGAUUUUUAAAAAACCCCCCAACACUUAAUUAACCCCAAAAGUAACACAAAACUAAAUUAAACCCCAAAAUUACCCAACCCACAAUCUGAAACCCAGUAACAAGCUGGAGAUCCAGAUUGGUGAAGGGGUUCUUGUUGGAGACUCGAAUUAGAGAAGGAUUGUGGAGGAGGAAGUUAGGGAUUUAAUUGUUCCAUCCGCGCGCAGCCCUUCUCAUCUCUCUGGUGAUGAAUUUGGGUUUCAAGACAGAGACAAAGAAAUGGUCAAGGAGAAGAAUAGCAGAACAUAGAUUAUAAAUACCAUCUGAUCAGAUUCCGUGGAGCGAGGAUUUAUCUUCCAUGGGGCUAACAAUUAUUUCUCAGCCUUUAUUUCGCUCAGUAGUUGUAGUUUCUCCCUUUUGGGGGAUUUUGUUCCUCAACUGUUUGUGUUUGUUUCGUAAUGAAGGAAGUAAAUUUUUUGGCUACUAUCGUG
rnacentral:lncRNA from 1 species